rnacentral:rRNA from 1 species
UACGAAGGGGGCGAGCGUUGUUCGGAAUUACUGGGCGUAAAGCGUGCGCAGGCGGUUUUGUAAGUCUGUCGUGAAAGCCCCGGGCUCAACCUGGGAAUGGCGAUGGAGACUGCAAGGCUUGAAUCUGGCAGAGGGGGGUAGAAUUCCACGUGUAGCAGUGAAAUGCGUAGAGAUGUGGAGGAACACCGAUGGCGAAGGCAGCCCCCUGGGUCAA